UCCAGGGUAGCCUAGUGGACAUGGCAUCUGCCCGGUAAGCGGAACACUGUGGGUUCUAUUCCCAUCCCUGCAA